CUUGCAUUGCGAGCGGACGUGUUGAAACGGUGCGGAAGCGAAGCGAUUGUCAAAACUAAACAGAAAACAUAGCGAACGUCGAGUUAUUUCAGUGUGUUUGUGCGAGUGAGUGCAAGUGUAUGAGUGGCUCGCGAAUAAUUUGCCUGCAGCACCCGAUUCGUCCAAGCAUUUGGGAGCUACUAGUGCCAGCCGUUUACUCCGCGCGCGGUACUUGUAUUCAUUUUAGCGUUUCUGUUGCUUUUUGAUUAAAGGCCUCCCAGCUACAACAACAACAACAGCAACAGCUACAUCAGCUGAAGAAAAAAUACAAAAAGAAGAAAGAGAAAAAGAAAGGAAAGCAAAGCCAAACAAAACAAAGCUGUAACAACAACCGCAACAACAAGCAAGAAGUGUCUGUGUGCCAAGUGCUAGCUUUAAAUUAUUGUUGGUUGCGGCACUUUUUUGGAAAUUAAAUUAUGUUAAGUGCAUAAAUCGUUCGUCGCAUCAGCAGCGGCAGCCGCAGCAACAACAAUAACAACAAAAUAAGCAACAACGACAGCCGAAAAAGUGAAACGCCAAGGUGCAAGCACAAAUUUGUUGCAGUGCCAAGAGCUGAAGAACUAAAUAAGUUGCAAUGUGAAGAGCACUCGUGGGACAAGUGAAAACUGCGCGGUAGCCCAAGGAGAAGUAAAAAACGUGAAGAGCACAAACUCGCUGAGCGCUGUCAGAAAAGUUGCCAAGGAGCCGAGCCAGUAGCUAGCAGGAGUAGCAGCUGCUGUGACGAUUGACAACACAAAAACAAAAGCAGCCACGGCGAGAGUUUGACAAGUGGCACAAGUGGCAGCAGCGCCCAAAACCAAGAAAGCAGAAGGCGUACAGAGACCACCCACGCAGCCACACAGUCGAUGGCCGCGUAGCUUUUGUAUGCGGCUCGCAUGCCGUGGCAACAACAGCGUCAAUACCAACAACAACAGCAGCAGCAACAACAACAACAACAGUCGGGGCAUUACAGGCACUAUGUGCUGCCCAAAUAGCGCAACGGAAUAGAGCAUCGGCAAGGACAUAGCCAAACACUCGACAGCAGAAAAGAAAGGAGCAGCUGGCAUAGUGCAGCACAUGUGUUUUUGUGAUGCGACAAGGACACUUCAAGUGCCGCCAACACACUUAAGCACAGUCCAACCAGCAGCAGCAGCAGCAGCAGCAGCAACAACAACAUCUACAGUCAGCAGCAGCAACUUCUCUGGCAUUAGCUUAAAACAGACAACAGACAGUCUUCAAUCGCAGCAUGCGCAAACAUAAAGCGCCGCCCGGCGGCCACCCAAUCAGUUCUAAUUCCAAUUCCAGUGCCAGUUCCGUGACAAGGACAAUGCCAACAGUGCACAACGACACCAACGCAGCAGGCACGACAGCAACAGCAACAGCAACAGCAGCAGCAGCAACAGCAACA
rnacentral:sRNA from 1 species